rnacentral:rRNA from 1 species
GAUGAACGCUGGCGGCGUGCCUAAUACAUGCAAGUCGAGCGGACGGACGAGAAGCUUGCUUCUCUGAUGUUAGCGGCGGACGGGUGAGUAACACGUGGAUAACCGACCUAGAAGACUGGGAUAAGGUCGGGAACCGGAGCUAAUACCGGAUAAUAUGUUGAACCGCAUGGUUCAAAAGUGAAAGACGGUCUUGCUGUCACUUAGAGAUGGAUCCGCGCUGCAUUAGCUAGUUGGUAAGGUAACGGCUUACCAAGGCAACGAUGCAUAGCCGACCUGAGAGGAUGAUCGGCCACACUGGAACUGAGACACGGUCCAGACUCCUACGGGAGGCAGCAGUAGGGAAUCUUCCGCAAUGGGCGAAAGCCUGACGGAGCAACGCCGCGUGAGUGAUGAAGGUCUUCGGAUCGUAAAACUCUGUUAUUAGGGAAGAACAUAUGUGUAAGUAACUGUGCACAUCUUGACGGUACCUACUCAGAAAGCCACGGCUAACUACGUG